rnacentral:rRNA from 1 species
ACGGAGGGGGCUAGCGUUAUUCGGAAUUAUUGGGCGUAAAGGGCGCGUAGGCGGCUUGACAAGUCAAAGGUGAAAUCCCUCGGCUCAACUGAGGAACUGCCUUUGAAACUGUCAGGCUUGAGGCCGGGAGGGGGUAGCGGAAUUCCCAAUGUAGCGGUGAAAUGCGUAGAUAUUGGGAGGAACACCAGUGGCGAAGGCGGCUACCUGGACCGGUAUUGACGCUGAGGCGCGAAAGCCAGGGGAGCAAACGGGA